CCUGUCUCAGCGUGUUGAAAUCCUGGCCGUUGAAUCGCAGGGGUUUGUUCAGAGACCCUUCUCCGUCUCUCCUCUCUCUCUCCCGGAUCAGCCGGUCGCAGAAAAAGCCCGACGCGGUUGAUUAUUCACCUGACAUUAGCACAGUCACCGCAGACGGUCGGCGCUUUACACCCAGGAUGGUGACGGAGCGUACAGUGGUAUCACAGUGAUAGGACCCAUCGUCAGUGGCAGAACUGAGCAGUGUCAUUAACAGAAACAACAACAAUAGACAUGACGUCAUCAUCAAUCAGGAGGUGCGACUGUGACUCACCGACAGAGCAGACGUCCUGACAGCAGGCUGAACCUGCGCAGACAGAAGGACUUUCUGUCUCUGUAGCUGAAUGAGUGGCCAUCGUCCAGGUACAACUCACCGUCAGCAGCUCCCUGCAGAGGAGAGCCACCGUGAGUGACAGAGGUAGCUGCUGCUGCUCAGCUGUGCAGGAACCACUCCCUGUUGACCUGCAGACCACUGAUCCACCACGCUGGAACAUAGGAACCUUUACACAAACAGAUCCAGGAAGUAAGAGCUGGACUUCCUGAACCCCAGGGUCAGUGACAGGAGAGACCAGCAGAGCUCCUCCUGCAUCAGACCAGAGAAAACAUCUGAAACAGCGGCCAAUCAGGAUCAGCUUUGAUGUGAGGAUCAUUAAUAACCACCAGCUACAAACAAAGAGACACAGGUGGCGCUGCAAUCCAGCAGGAUCAGGAAAAUGAACAUGGUCCCAAGUGAAGUAACGCUUCCCAUCAGUGUGCUCAAUGUCCAACCAGAUGACGUCGUAGGGGAUGUGGUGAAGAUCGAAUCCAGCAUCAACAGACUUGAC